rnacentral:tRNA from 1 species
UUCUUAUUAGCUCAAUGGCAGAGCAGAAUACUUCUAAUAUUUGGAUCCAGGUUCGAGUCCAGGAUAAGAAU